AGGUACUGGGAUGUUACUGGGGUGAUACUGGUGGUUACUGGGAGUUACUGGGAGCUACUGGGAUGUAUCAAAGGAGCACUUGGGGGGCGGGGGGAGCUCCUGAGAGGCACCGGGAGCUCCUGGGGGGGCACUGGGGUGAUACUGGGAGUUACUGGGGUCAUACUGGGAGUUACUGGGAUGUUACUGGGCGGGUUACUGGUGGUUACUGGUGGUUACUGGUCGUUACUGGGCACCCACCAUGGCUCGGGUGAGGCACUGCCUCCAGCGGCAUUUCUGCCUGCGGCGGUUGCGGCCCCCGAAGCGGGGUUUGUCCCGGCAGAAGUCGCAGCGCCCGCAGUCGGCGGCUCGCAGGCAGGGGGGGCACGACCCGCAGCGACGGCCACGCUGGGGGUAUAGGGUCAUGGGGUCACUUAUAGGGUCACUUAUAGGGUCAGUUAUAGGGGCAGGGGGUUAUGGGGUCACUUAUAGGGUCACGGGGUCAGUUAUAGGGUCAGGGGGUCACUUAUAGGGUCAGGGGGUUACUUAUAGGGUCACGGGGUCACUUAUAGGGUCAGUAAUGGGGUCAGUUAUAGGGGCAGGGGGGGCACAACCCGCAGCGACGGCCCCGCUGCGGUUAUAGGGGCAGGGGUCACUUAUAGGGUCAGUUAUAGGGUCAGUUAUGGGGUCAGGGGGUUAUGGGGUCACUUAUAGGGUCAGGGGGUCAGAUAUAGGGUCAGGGGGUUAUGGGGGGCACAACCCGCAGCGGCACCCACGCUGGGUUAUAGGGGCAGGGGUCACUUAUAGGGUCACGGGGUCAGUUAUAGGGUAAUGGGGUCACUUAUAGGGUCAUGGGGUCAGAUAUAGGGUCAGGGGUCACUUAUAGGGUCAGGGGGUUAUGGGGUCAGUUAUAGGGUUAUGGGGGGCACGACCCGCAGCGGCGCCCACGCUGGGGGUUAUAGGGGCAGGGGUCAGUUAUAGGGUCAGUUAUAGGGUCAC
rnacentral:lncRNA from 1 species